GCUAACUAAGUGUUUAACCCAUCGCACAUUGACCUUUCACGUCAAAAGAGCACUAUGUGCAUUUAGCU
rnacentral:tRNA from 1 species